GACGAACGCUGGCGGCGUGCUUAACACAUGCAAGUCGAACGGAAAGGCCCUGCUUUUGUGGGGUGCUCGAGUGGCGAACGGGUGAGUAACACGUGAGUAACCUGCCCUUGACUUUGGGAUAACUUCAGGAAACUGGGGCUAAUACCGGAUAGGAGCUCCUGCUGCAUGGUGGGGGUUGGAAAGUUUCGGCGGUUGGGGAUGGACUCGCGGCUUAUCAGCUUGUUGGUGGGGUAGUGGCUUACCAAGGCUUUGACGGGUAGCCGGCCUGAGAGGGUGACCGGCCACAUUGGGACUGAGAUACGGCCCAGACUCCUACGGGAGGCAGCAGUGGGGAAUAUUGCACAAUGGGCGGAAGCCUGAUGCAGCAACGCCGCGUGCGGGAUGACGGCCUUCGGGUUGUAAACCGCUUUCGCCUGUGACGAAGCGUGAGUGACGGUAAUGGGUAAAGAAGAGCCGGCUAACUACGUG
rnacentral:rRNA from 1 species